GAUGAAGAACGUAGCGAAAUGCGAUAAGUAAUGUGAAUUGCAGAAUUCAGUGAAUCAUCGAAUCUUUGAACGCACAUUGCGCCCGCCAGUAUUCUGGCGGGCAUGCCUGUUCGAGCGUCAUUUCAACCAUCAAGCCCUGCUUGCGUUGGGGUCCUGCGGCUGCCCGCAGGCCCUGAAAACCAGUGGCGGGCUCGCUAGUCACACCGAGCGCAGUAAUACAUCUCGCUUUGGGCGUGAGGCGGGUUCUUGCCGUUAAACACCCCCUUUUUACCAAGGUUGACCUCGGAUCAGGUAGGAAUACCCGCUGAACUUAAGCAUAUCAAUAAGCGGAGGA
rnacentral:misc_RNA from 1 species